ACCUUCUGUCAGCAGGCUCUUGCCCACCCUGGGGCCUCCUUAUUAGCCAUCAUGUAGAAAGCAAAAAAGCUCUUCCAAGGAGCCAUCAGUCUCCUUGAUUACAGGGAAGGGAUAGUCCACUGGCGUUCACAGCUUUACAAUGGCAGAGAUCGUGAGAUCAAAGAGCAUGAACUGGAAGGGUCCUCACAGGUCACUGAGUACGAACCUGUCUUAGCCUUCAUUUCUUCAUCGAUAGUAUGAGGAUAAAAACAGCACCAAUCUCAGAGGGUUUUUAUAAGCAUCAACAAGAGAUGGAAAAAAAAACCCUGAGGCCCCAACUGAUUAAGUGAUUUGUCUAAGGAAACAAAGUAAAAAGUAACAGAGCCAGAAUCCAAACCCAGCUCUAGAUUCCAGAUUGAAGACUCUCUCCAUUGUUCUACAAGGACUAAACAAAUGCAAUGAUAUAUAAGGUAGAAGAACCAAUCAGCAGUUAAUGAUCUUCCCCGAAAAGAUCUUACCUUUAUGAGGACAGAGGACCAGCUGCCUUCUUGCAUAUUUACUCUGUAUAUAGCCGGUGCUCAAUGUCAAGGAAAAAGCUCAAGGAACAUCAUCUACAAAGACCACUGGGCCAGUUAGUUUUAAACUAAGCAGACAGCCAGCCCGCAGUUGGAGCCAGGAGUAAAAUAUUUCAGACUCCACAGAAGCCGACUGCCCCUGGCAGCCUAGUUCAGCAUGCCUCUGGAGCCAAUCCACAGGAAAUCCGUGGUGUCAGCUGGCUAGGAGAUGCUACUAACCGUCCAACAUUUCCUGGAUCCCCUGCAUAGUCUCUCUUCAGAAACAGAAAGAAAAAGGAGGAAUAGAAAAAAAGAGCACUGGGGACUUCUGAGGCAGUGAUGGAGUCUAUAUUGGCACAAAUGAAUUCUGCCUAAUUAAAUAAAAAACAUGAAGAUUUCUGAUCA
rnacentral:lncRNA from 1 species